rnacentral:rRNA from 2 species
ACAUAACGACUCUCGGCAACGGAUAUCUCGGCUCUCGCAUCGAUGAAGAACGUAGCGAAAUGCGAUACUUGGUGUGAAUUGCAGAAUCCCGUGAACCAUCGAGUCUUUGAACGCAAGUUGCGCCCGAAGCCAUCUGGCCGAGGGCACGUCUGCCUGGGCGUCACGCGUCUCUUCGCCCCCCC